rnacentral:rRNA from 1 species
GCGAAUGGAUUAAGAGCUUGCUCUUAUGAAGUUAGCGGCGGACGGGUGAGUAACACGUGGGUAACCUGCCCAUAAGACUGGGAUAACUCCGGGAAACCGGGGCUAAUACCGGAUAACAUUUUGAACCGCAUGGUUCGAAAUUGAAAGGCGGCUUCGGCUGUCACUUAUGGAUGGACCCGCGUCGCAUUAGCUAGUUGGUGAGGUAACGGCUCACCAAGGCAACGAUGCGUAGCCGACCUGAGAGGGUGAUCGGCCACACUGGGACUGAGACACGGCCCAGACUCCUACGGGAGGCAGCAGUAGGGAAUCUUCCGCAAUGGACGAAAGUCUGACGGAACAACGCCGCGUGAGUGAUGAAGGGUUUCGGGUCCUAAAACUCUGUUGUUAGGGAAGAACAAGUGCUAGUUGAAUAAGCUG